CUUAACACAUGCAAGUCGAGCGGUAACAGGAAGAAGCUUGCUUCUUUGCUGACGAGCGGCGGACGGGUGAGUAAUGCCUAGGAAUCUGCCUAGUAGUGGGGGAUAACUUGCCGAAAGGUAAGCUAAUACCGCAUACGUCCUACGGGAGAAAGGAGGGGACUCUUCGGAGCCUUUCGCUAUUAGAUGAGCCUAGGUCGGAUUAGUUAGUUGGUGAGGUAAUGGCUCACCAAGACCGCGAUCCGUAACUGGUCUGAGAGGAUGAUCAGUCACACUGGAACUGAGACACGGUCCAGACUCCUACGGGAGGCAGCAGUGGGGAAUAUUGGACAAUGGGGGAAACCCUGAUCCAGCCAUGCCGCGUGUGUGAAGAAGGUCUUAGGAUUGUAAAGCACUUUAAGUUGGGAGGAAGGGCAGUUAACUAAUAUUUGACUGUUUUGACGUUACCGACAGAAUAAGCACCGGCUAACUUCGUGCCAGCAGCCGCGGUAAUACGAAGGGUGCAAGCGUUAAUCGGAAUUACUGGGCGUAAAGCGCGCGUAGGUGGUUCGUUAAGUUAGGAGUGAAAGCCCCGGGCUCAACCUGGGAAUUGCUUCUAAAACUGGCGAGCUAGAGUAUGGUAGAGGGUGGUGGAAUUUCCUGUGUAGCGGUGAAAUGCGUAGAUAUAGGAAGGAACAUCAGUGGCGAAGGCGACCACCUGGACUAAUACUGACACUGAGGUGCGAAAGCGUGGGGAGCAAACAGGAUU
rnacentral:rRNA from 1 species